rnacentral:misc_RNA from 1 species
CCGAGUGAGGGCCUCUGGCCCGACCUCCAACCCUUUGUUGACCAACACCCGUUGCCUCGGGGGCGACCCGGACGCCGACGCGUCGGGCACCCCGACGGACCAUUAACUCUGUGUCUGUACGUCGGAGUGAUUAGUGAAUCAAUCA